UUUCAUCGGUUGUGACAGGACUUGGAAUAACUUGUGACUCUAAAGAGAGACUUGUUUCAUACUAACUGCUUGGGUCAUUUUUCUCUGUCAUUUUCCCUGCCUGGGAUGUUGUUCUCCUUCAUCUACUUGUACAAGUCCUAUUUUCUGAACUACUUUUUAUGGCCCUCCCGACUAUUCCAAAACCCCCCUCAACUGUCCUAAGUCUUCUAAGCUCUUACAACAGAUUACACUAUGAUGUUUCCAAAGAAGACAACUCUGCGUAUGCAUACUAGGGACCCAGGCACAUGACUUAAAGCCUCGUAAGCAAUCCUUACACAACAGUUAUUGGAUGAGGCCUAUAUACUGGAAUGUUCCAUUAAGAAUGCAAACUUCACAAAGCGAAGCACAAUGCAAAUAUUAUGAAUAUCAAACAGCAUUCUUAUGGAUAACUGGAAUUCACUUGUGAUUUUUUUUUUCAAACUGUCUCAAUUGAGUCAAGUGCAUGAAAACAUGGAACAGUAAAUCAGAACUGGGUGGGGGAUGAGUGAGCAGAUAAGUAUAAACAUGGCUUAAAAAUGAAGUAGAAUAUUUUCAUGUGCUUUUAGUUUCAGUAUUUAAUGUUUUGAAAUUCUAAGUAAUAUUAAAGUAAGAGCUGCUGGAAUAAAAGAGGUUGAGGAACAA